AAGAGCCCAUGCCUGGCCCUCCUCCCUGUGAUGGUCUCCAGCUGGGCCAGCAUCUGCACGGGGAACUCCUCCAGAGCACCCUCCUCCCUGCCUGCUCUGCCGUGUGUCGUCUGUGAUCUGCCACCUGUCACUUAGCUGAGAAGAAGACAGCGUGGUCCUGCCCUGAGGGGGGGCCUUCCACCCGUAUUGCUGCGGUUUACUGCGCAUCUGCUCGGUGCCCAACGCUGUCUGCCGGUUACCUUCACGCCUGCCUGUAACCUAAGGGUUGUUAUUCCUGUGCUGCAGACGAGAAAAGCUCAGAGAGGCUAAGUGAGCUGCCCAAGGCCACACAGGCUUCACUUAGGAGGGAACCACAGGGCCACUCUGCGCCGGAACAGGCAGAGAGGAGCUCCGACCAGUGAACGGUGAAGCUGGGCUACUCACUCCUUCAGCAGGACGACGUCAGCCAGCACGCCGAACAUCUGGUAGAGCCCAGAAGCCUCGUUGAUGCGCCGGAUGAUGGAGCUCGUCAGC